rnacentral:rRNA from 1 species
AUGCAAGUCGAACGAGAUUAUCCAGUCUUGCUGGAUAUGAAAGUGGCGCACGGGUGCGUAACGCGUAUGCAACCUACCUUAAUCAGGGGGAUAGCCCGAAGAAAUUCGGAUUAACACCGCAUAAAAACACAGAAUAGCAUUAUUCAAUGUUCAAAUAUUUAUAGGAUUAAGAUGGGCAUGCGUGUCAUUAGCUAGUUGGCGGGGUAACGGCCCACCAAGGCGACGAUGACUAGGGGAUCUGAGAGGAUGACCCCCCACACUGGUACUGAGACACGGACCAGACUCCUACGGGAGGCAGCAGUAAGGAAUAUUGGUCAAUGGAGGCAACUCUGAACCAGCCAUGCCGCGUGCAGGAAGACGGCCCUAUGGGUUGUAAACUGCUUUUAUCUGGGAAUAAACCUUUUUACGUGUAAGAAGCUGAAUGUACCAGAAGAAUAAGGAUCG